rnacentral:rRNA from 1 species
UACGGAGGGUGCAAGCGUUAUCCGGAUUCACUGGGUUUAAAGGGUGCGUAGGUGGGCAGGUAAGUCAGUGGUGAAAUCUCCGGGCUUAACCCGGAAACUGCCAUUGAUACUAUUGGUCUUGAAUUCGGUCGAGGUUGGCGGAAUGUGUCGUGUAGCGGUGAAAUGCUUAGAUAUGACACAGAACACCGAUUGCGAAGGCAGCUAGCUAGACCGACAUUGACGCUGAGGCACGAAAGCGUGGGGAUCAAACAGG